UAUGGCACUGAAGGUGAUGCUAAUUCAAGAAUAAUAUUUAAAUAAAUAUGCAGAAGGCAGUAAAAUAAAAACGCUGAAGGCGAUGCUAAUUUCCCAAUGGCAGUUGUGGGUUAUUUAAAAAUAAUAUUUGCAGAAGGCUUAAUUAAAAUAGCAAUCGGAGUCUUCAAGGCCCAGAAUCACUUCACUUCACUCACACGUAGCACUUAUGGCACCGGUCAACAAUUCCAACGCUAAAAUAAUUUUAAUUUAAAACACUUGCAGAAAUGCCGACGGGAAAAAAGCCGACGACCAAAUAAAAUAAAUUAAAAUACGCACAGAAGGUGAUGCUAGUGUGCCGACGGGAAAAAAUCCGACGGCAAAAUUAAAAUAAAAUAAAUACACAGAAGGUGAUGCUAGAAUGCCGACGGGAAAAAAAAAGCCGAGGGCAAAAUUAAAUAAAAUAUAUACACAGAAGGUGAUGCUUAAAUGCCGACGGGAAAAAAGCCGACGACAAUUUUAAAAUAAAAUAAAUACACAGAAGGUGAUGUUAAAAUGCCGACGGGAAAAAAGCCGACGGCAAAAUCAAAUAAAUUAAAAUACACAGAAGGUGAUGCUACAAUGCCGAAGGAAAAAAGCCGACGGCAAAAACAAUUAGAAUAAUAAACGCAGAAGGCGAUGCUAAUAACGGUUGGAAUUGCUAACACAGAACACAACACACACACACACACACACACACACUGUAUCAAGCACUCUAGAAACUGAGACUAGCAGAAGCACGACCUUCCUCGUCAACGGUUAAAAGAAUACUGACACUUUAACACACACACAAAAUUAUUCACUAACACUGAGCGCUGGGUAUUUGGGCAGCGUAACGCCGUCUCGAAAGCUGGAUGAAGACUGAGCGGAUGAGCAGAGCACCGAGCAAAUUUAUACCGUAGCGGCGGGGCCUCCGGGUAUAAAAUGUUCAGUAGAACUCUGGUGUCGAGCGGGAGCGAGGUGAGAACACGUCCGCUCCGUUCGGCUGUCCGAUGAUGUCUGGCAUUUGGCUACCUUUUUUUUUUUUUUUUUUUUUUUUUUUUUUUUUUUUUUUUUUUUUUUUUUUUUUUUUUUUUUUUUUUUGUU